rnacentral:lncRNA from 1 species
CUGAAAUUCUUAUCAACAUGAAUACUAAGGUCUUCAUCCUCCUGGGUCUGGCAGCUUUUGCUGCUGCAGACAGCUUCGAAUCCUACGAAUACCGACCACCACAGAGACGCUAUUCCUCUGAGGAAUCCUUCGAAUCCGGAGAGGCCAAAUACGACUUCGACUGGGCUGUCAGGCACGAGGAUUCCGGCAACAACUUCGGACACCAGGAAGCCCGUGACGGCGAAGACACUC